GCCAAGCAGUGCUGACGCACUUCGCAUGGGCUCCUGCAUUUUUCGGCAAUUUUCCGGACACCUGCUUUUAUUCAUCGACACUGUGGCAUCGACGGAAGCGGCACGGGAAGCGGUACCGGAGGAUGUCAAGUUUAUGAGCGGUCGUGGGUUUCCGUGACUUCUCGUGCUUUGGGGAAUGAUCGCAGCCUGCAGAAAAAGGAAACAAAACCACUGCUGAAACAAGAAGCACUAAAAUACCUAAAAUUACAGCACGAUGCCCUUUUUUCAAGAUGCCUAACCGGAGGGGCACAUCAAAUCGGAUCCUUCACCUGUAUUGUUAUCGGUGAGAUCUAUCCGUGGAAGCCGAAACCAGGACCUCCGUAUCCUCCACCGUGCCAGGCCCUCGGGUACGGCUCCCACCCACCGC